rnacentral:rRNA from 1 species
UACAGGGGGUGCGAGCGUUGUCCGGAAUCACUGGGCGUAAAGGGCGCGUAGGUGGCGCUGCAAGUCGGUGGUGAAAGCUCGCCGCUUAACGGCGAGUCGGCCAUCGAAACUGCAGGGCUCGAGCACUGUAGGGGCUAAUGGAAUUCCGGGUGUAGCGGUGGAAUGCGUAGAGAUCCGGAAGAACACCAGUGGCGAAGGCGGUUAGCUGGGCAGUUGCUGACACUGAUGCGCGACAGCGUGGGGAGCAAACAGG